GAAAGAAAAACAGCCUAAGCAGGUCCUACAUGUCAAUCUCCUGAGAGAAUUUAAGGAGAGGGGGUCUGAUCUGACAGGUCCAGAGGAUGUCAAAGACCAAGUGAUGAUGGUGAGGGCCAUAGAGGAGGAAGAGGAUGAACCUGAUAUGGAACCAGUUCGUUCGUUGCUGAAGGCCCCAGAAUGCUAUUCAAGCUUAAAUAACCAACAACAACAGCAACUAAUUGAGGUACUUCAAUCUUUUCCCUCUCUUUUCCAGAAGAGGCCUGGAAGGACCGAGAUCCUAACACACAACAUCAUCCUGAAAGACACUACUCCCAUACGACAGAAACCCUAUCGAGUCCCAGAGAAGAUGGUGGAACAGUUAAAGACUGAGAUCAAGACCAUGUUGGAAAUGGGGAUUAUAGAACCCUCGAAAAAGGUUAUAUCAAUACACUGUUAUGCCUUUUGGAUUACAUGGAGCACCAGCCACCUUCCAAAGGUUGAUGGACCGUGUACUUACGGGUGUGAGCAGUAUGCAGCCGCAUACCUUGAUGAUGUGGUGAUAUACAGUGGAUCCUGGCAAGAACAUUUAAGGCAUCUUGAGGAUAUCCUAAAGAGGCUUCAGGAAGCUGGGCUCACCAUUAACACCACCAAAUGUUCAUGGGCUCAGACGGAGGUCAGGUAUUUGGGGUACUUACUGGGACAUGGUCAGAUCAGACCACAGGUGGAAAAGCUUAAGGCUAUCCAAAAUAUUGCUCGCCCGCAGACUAAAAAGCAAGUGAGAUCUUUCCUUGGAUUAAUCGGCUGGUACCGCCGAUUUGUUCCCCACUUUGCAUCACUGGCUACACCUUUGACUGAUCUGACUAAAAAAAGAGUCCUGCUAAGUUUUGUUGGACGAGUGAGUGUGAAGAAGCCUUCAAGGCCCUGAAGAAUCUGUUAUGCAAUGAACCAGUGUUACAGAGCCCUAAUUUCACCCAGAGAUUUAUUGUACAGGUGGAUGCUUCUGAUGUUGGCUUGGGAGCCGUACUGGUCCAAGGAGAGGCUCAUGAUGAGAGACCAGUUCUAUUUUUUUGAGCAGAAAAACUCUUUGAAAGAGAGAGGAAAUACUCCACAAUUGAGAAAGAAGGACUUGCCAUCAAAUGGGCUGUGGACUCCCUGCGGUAUUACUUACUGGGGCGUGAAUUCACAUUACGUUCUGAUCAUCGUGCCCUGAAGUGGAUGCAAACUAUGCAGAAUAGUAACUCAAGGAUACUGCGCUGGGGUCUGACUCUGCAGCCCUAUGUAUUUACCAUUGAGCACUGUCCAGGUAAGAAAAAUAUUAUUGCUGAUUAUUUGUCCCGUUUGCCAAAUUUAGAUCAUCCAGAGGGGGAAGAAGGGGGAAAAUGUGAUGUGGCACACAUGGGUCAAAUGAAAACACCAUAGACAUGUUUGGCAAGAUCUUUAUUUUGUUUGUUUUACUUAGAAACAGUAACAUGGAAGGUGCACAUUCCAUGGUGACUGCUGGUAAUGUGAAACAUUCAAUAUAGUGUUAAAGUCAAGAAAUGUGUGAAUAGUAACAUGUGUUUCGUUUCUGUGUCUUACCGGUUCCUGGAAAGCCCAAAAAGAGCGGCCCGCGAACAGGAAACCAGUUUAUGGCAUUCUGAAGGGGAGGAGUUACACAAUUAAGGAUGUGUGGAUUAAAAUGUCUUGUAUAUGUAUACUUUGAUGAAUUAUUAGGGAGGGAAGCCUUUGGUUAAAGGAGAACUUCAUUAUGGGUGUGACUAGUGAGGCUGAAAGUCUAUGUGAAGUGUGAAAUGUACCGUUUAACAAAUGGAGUGUUAUGAUUGGUCCGUUUGAAUACUAGGGGAGGGGGCCAAGGGUAUAAAAGAGUAGUGGAAAUGUCUGAAUGGAGGACGGGUGUUUGUUGGAACAGUAGCCAACUAUUUAGGUUUUUUCUUUAGUUUUCUGUUAUGUCCUGAGUUGUACUUUAAAUAAGUUUUCUUUUGUUUUGUUUUUUCCCUGGGUUCAACUUGCCCAUUUAUUUGAUAGUUUGCUUUGGUUUUUGCUAUGUCUGUUUGAAACUUGUGGAUCCCAAGAAUAAAAAAAAGGACUUUCCAUGGACUUUUCCUGGAGUUUUGCCACUUCUUUUGCUGUCAGUUAGCCAUUGCAU
ensembl:lncRNA